UUUCACAGUGAACUUCUCCAGGAUGAGGGGUUUGUGAGUAUUGCGUACGAACUGUACACGGGUAAAACGGUGAGUGGGGACGCAAGGGUGGAGGACUGGUAA